rnacentral:miRNA from 1 species
GUGUUCUCCAACCCAGUCCUCAGGGACCACCAACAGUCCAGGUUUUGUCAGUAUCUCCAUUGGAAUAAUACAGGGAAAUACAAAAAUCCUGAACUGUUGGUGGUCCAUGAGGACUGGGUUGGAGAACA